rnacentral:snRNA from 2 species
AGCCGUGUGAUAUGUACAUAGCGAACUAUUCUUUCGCCUUUUACUAAAGAAUACCGUGUACAUGUCACUUUAAGCGGCAUACGCCAAUUUUUGGACAUGGAUCUUCUUUAGAGGAUCC